rnacentral:rRNA from 1 species
UACGUAGGGGGCAAGCGUUGUCCGGAUUUAUUGGGCGUAAAGAGCGUGUAGGCGGUUUGGUAGGUCCGCUGUGAAAACUCGAGGCUCAACCUCGAGACGCCGGUGGAAACCAUCAGACUAGAGUCCGGAAGAGGAGAGUGGAAUUCCUGGUGUAGCGGUGAAAUGCGCAGAUAUCAGGAAGAACACCGGUGGCGAAGGCGGAUCUCUGGGCCAUUACUGACGCUGAGGAGCGAAAGCGUGGGGAGCGAACAGG